rnacentral:rRNA from 1 species
CUACGUGCCAGCAGCCGCGGUAAUACGUAGGGGGCAAGCGUUAUCCGGAUUCAUUGGGCGUAAAGCGCUCGUAGGCGGUCUGUUAGGUCGGGAGUUAAAUCCGGGGGCUCAACCCCCGCUCGCUCCCGAUACCGGCAGACUUGAGUUUGGUAGGGGAAGGUGGAAUUCCUAGUGUAGCGGUGGAAUGCGCAGAUAUUAGGAAGAACACCAGUGGCGAAGGCGGCCUUCUGGGCCAUAACUGACGCUGAGGAGCGAAAGCUAGGGGAGCAAACAGGAUUAGAUACCCUGGUAGUCCUAGCCGUAAACGAUGGACACUAGGUGUGGGGGAAUAUUUCUUCCGUGCCGCAGCUAACGCAUUAAGUGUCCCGCCUGGGGAGUACGGCCGCAAGGCUAAAACUCAAAGGAAUUGACGGGGGCCCGCACAAGCAGCGGAGCAUGUGGUUUAAUUCGAAGCAACGCGAAGAACCUUACCAGGGCUUGACAU